AGAACGCUGACCUACAGUGUAUCGCCCUUGGUGUACCUUCACCUCCGUUGGCGAAAAUUCCGAGGCCUCGGGCACCCUCGCCGUUGGCCAGAGCGUUUGGGCCAUCCAUCUGUGGCUCGCCCCACGGGCCCGCUCCUCUGGUUCCACGCUGUCUCUUUAGGUGAAGGAAUGGCUGCCAUUCCUGUAAUUAAACAUUGCCAUCGGUUAAGGCCUGAUUUAACCAUUCUGAUGACUACUGCUACAUACUCUGCUUUGUGUGAGUUUGUUCAUGUUAAAAUGGGUAAAAUGCAAGGCAAUGUUGGUAGAGGUUGUAAGCGAUGUACAAUCUGGUUGGAGAGACUCAAAACUAUAGCGAAGUAGUGCUCACAAAACAUGUAGUCCACUUCACAAUAGCUUGAAUCUGAUAACUUUGACAAGCUUCAUUAGGAUGGGUGGUUGCUCAGCUCAAAAGAGUAAAAUGUUACUUGGAGUGGUCAUCCUUCUUAUACUAUGACUAUUAAUGGAUCCAUGUGGAAUUCCUAGACUUUUACAAGCAACAACAUUGAUAUUGCAAAUAGUUUAUUCUUGACUCUUAAAAUGCAAGAGCUUUAAUCUAUGUUUUGCCAUCCUUACUAGUUUAAGUUUUUAGUUCUAACAGUUACUUAAAAUGUUAUCAAAGCUAAGGUCCUUAGUUUUAAUCCCCAUGUAUCAGAUUCUACACCCUUAGUUUGAAUCCCCAUGUAUCACCUUCU